UACAGAGGGUGCGAGCGUUGUUCGGAAUUAUUGGGCGUAAAGGGCGCGUAGGCGGUGCGGUAAGUCACCUGUGAAAUCUCCUGGCUCAACUGGGAGCUUGCAGGCGAAACUGCCGUGCUGGAGUGUGGGAGAGGUGCGUGGAAUUCCCGGUGUAGCGGUGAAAUGCGUAGAUAUCGGGGAGGAACACCUGUGGCGAAAGCGGCGCACUGGACCACAACUGACGCUGAGGCGCGAAAAGCUAGGGGGAGCAAACAGG
rnacentral:rRNA from 1 species